UGUAGCUUAGGUUGAAUUAAUCUUGAAAGUUUUUCAAUUUUUGAAAGCCUGCAAUCACACUCGCCGUACAAAAAGUGGUGAACCAGUCGAAGGCGCCGAGGGUUCAACAGAGUUACAGUGUAGGAUCGAGCAGGGGUCCAACGGAGCUCGCAGGGGUCGAUGCGCGGCAUGGAGGGUAGGAUCGAGCUGGAGAAGCUGAUGCAGCAGUACAUGAAGCAGCAGCAGCAGGCGGCGGUGGUGAUGACGAUGAGGUCGUCGUAGAGGGUGCGACGGAGCAGCAGCGUCGCGAUGGGGAGGAUCGGCGAGGAGAGCGAGGUGGGCGAGGAUGAUAGUAAUCAUGGCGUCGAUGAGAUGAAGCUACGUUUCUGAAAAUCUGAAAUUGAAGGAAAGCGUUGGGGAAGACGAGAAAAACGAGAUCGUAAGGGUGAACAAGGGAAUUAAAGAGAAAUUCCCUUCGAUUGAAAAGCUGUGCGUUGGGGAAAACUUCUCUUCGGCAAGGGCGAAGCCACGAAGGGGUAUUCUAUCGGUUCGAUUGCGGUUUUCCGAUGAGUGAGUGAAUUGGAGACGUUGAAUGAGGCGAAGGAUAAGGUUGAGGAGUUUCUCGAUGACGUAUUGGCGGUGGAUUUCACCGUUCCGGCGGAACAAUAUGCUAAUCUCUUAGGAAAUGGCUUCAUAAAUUUAAAUGACUUAUUUGCCCUUGAUAAUAACGGUGGAAAUGAUCAAUUUCUAACGGUGGAUGACAUUGGGUACCGUUUCAAAAGACAGAGGAUUAAAUUGGGUACGAAAAAUACUUUGGGACUAAAUCGAGUAUUAGCUAAUAGUCGGAGGACCAUUUUGGGUAUUAACUCUUUUAGUUUCAUCAACUAAAUUAAUAACUUAUUGAGUGAGGAGGGAAACUCGCAGUCAUUACCCGAGAGUAUGCACGGGAUAAGCUACGCCUUGUGAUCCUAGACGGCAAAUGACUACAAUGAGGUAAAUCAGCCUAAUUUGUCCAUGGCUGGGCGACUCAAAUCAAGAACUCAAGAAGGCCAAUAGGCCACUCCCGUGGGAAUUUGAACUUAUAGCCUUGUGGUUACCAAGUCAACAACGUGGUCAACUUGACUAGGAUUGUUCCUAAUUAGUACUUAUCGCCCCUCCCCCUCCCUUUUGUGGUUGCUUCAACCUUUCUUCAAUUUGUAAUGUCAUAAAUUUUAAUCAUUUCAAUGUCUUCAAAUUUGUACUUUGCUUAAUUUUAAUGAUUUUAAUAUCUUCGAUUUCCUAGUUUUCUUAA